GACGAACGCUGACGGCGUGCUUAACACAUGCAAGUCGAACGGAAAGGCCCUGCUUUUGUGGGGUGCUCGAGUGGCGAACGGGUGAGUAACACGUGAGUAACCUGCCCUUGACUUUGGGAUAACUUCAGGAAACUGGGGCUAAUACCGGAUAGGAGCUCCUGCUGCAUGGUGGGGGUUGGAAAGUUUCGGCGGUUGGGGAUGGACUCGCGGCUUAUCAGCUUGUUGGUGGGGUAGUGGCUUACCAAGGCUUUGACGGGUAGCCGGCCUGAGAGGGUGACCGGCCACAUUGGGACUGAGAUACGGCACAGACUCCUACGGGAGGCAGCAGUGGGGAAUAGUGCACAAUGGGCGGAAGCCUGAUGCAGCAACGCCGCGUGCGGGAUGACGGCCUUCGGGUUGUAAACCGCUUUCGCCUGUGACGAAGCGUGAGUGACGGUAAUGGGUAAAGAAGCACCGGCUAACUACGUG
rnacentral:rRNA from 1 species